UGGCACCGAUAUCCGAUAGGCCCAAAUGUGAAUCCUGGUGGGUUUUGAGGGGAAUUGGCCCGGACAUUUCAGAGUUGUAGGUCCUGGGAUGUAUAGUAGACAUGUCCAAAAAAUCGUUUUGAAUCUUAUAUCGGAAUUAUUUCGGGUUGUUCUCGCUUUUUGAUACGCAUUCCGAGACAUUGUCUCACAGCGCAACCAGCAACGUCAUUCGAACCAUUGUUGGCCCAUUCUCUAAUUGUCUCUUAAUGUUUCGUUAAUUUUAUUCCCCAAAUUUUUUUUAAAAUAUAUUUUUUAAAAAUUUUUUUUUGUUUCUGCAACCUUUUUGGGAGUUGUAGUUCACCCGCAUCCGGAGAUACUGGGACCCUGUAGUUCACCCACAACCUUAUGCAUUUGGUACAAUUAAAACACUCAGUUUUUCAAAUAACCCAGGUGACGCCAGGUGGCCAUGCUAAUAAAGAUAAUAAUAAUAAUAAUAAUAAAUAUUUUUAUUAGGUUCCUCCAGCAUAUGUUACCAUAGGGUCCAGAGAGCCCUGUAACUCCUACCGGGUAACAAAUUAUUAUUAUUAUUAUUAUUAUUAUUAUUAUUAUUAUUAUUAUUAUUAUUAUCUUGGCAUGGGCCCAGGAUGAUGGGAAUUGCAGUUCAUCCAUAUCCAGAGAGGCUUGUGACUCACACUGGGUAACAAAUUAUUAUUAUUAUUAUUAUUAUUAUUAUUGUCACCCAGGAUGAUGGGAGUUGCAGUUCAUCCAAGUCCAGAGAGUCCUGUGACCCCCACCGGGUCCUGUGACCCCCACCGGUGACCUCAAGAGGAGGAAACGAAACCAGUCGUGAGCGAGCGAGUGUCACGGUCGUGAAGACACUCGGUCCAAGGCCAUGGGCGAAGGAGAAGGAGGCGACCGGCGGAAGCUGUGGCCGGCCCUGGCCGUGGCCGAACUGACCGUCAUCGUCAUCCUGGCCACCGCUUUGGCCUACCUCUUGACCCACAAGGAGGAAGGCCACCACGAGCUGGCCCAGAGAGUGGACACCAUGAACCAGACCCUCCGAGCGGCCGCAGAGAACUGGACGGCGUGCCAAAACUAGACGAGGUGGCUGGCCGCAAACUCCUCGGCCCUUCGUUCCGAAGCGAGGCAGCUCGGUGUGCGUUUGCAGCAGCAGGAGCUGGAAAACAAGUUCCUCAAAGGAGAACUCGCCGUCCUGCAAAACUGGACCCUGAAGCUGGAAGACUUAAACAACCACCAGAAGGAGAUCAUUGCGAGUCUCCUCAACCAGCCGAAGGCCUUUUCCGGAACUCUCCGCAAUGGACCACCAUUCCUGGUGCUCGUGGUGGUCAUGGCCUUGCACCUUUGAGAAGAUCGAAGCCUUGGAGCAAGGAAGACGUCAACUUUUCCCAAGCCUCAAAGCGGUGAAAGAAAACCUCUUUCUGUCCCAUCCGUAUCCCAAAUGCUGACAUAAUAAUGCCUAACCUAGAACCUUCUAAUCUAGAACAUCCCAACCUAGAACCUCGCAACCUAGAACAUCCUGACUUAGAUCAUUGUGACCAAGAACAAAGAGGAUUCUGAAAAGAAGAAAUGGAGAAAGGGCCAGUUAGCUUAGAACCAUUCAACCUAGAUCCUUCUGCUCUAGAACAUCCCACCUUAAAAACACAAUGACCUAGAACAUCCUAACUUAGAUCAUUAUGAUCUAGAACAAUGAGGAUUCUAAAGAGAUGGAGAUAGUGCUUGCUAGCUUACAACCAUCUAACCUAGAGCCUUCUGCUCUAGAACAUCCCAACCUGUAAUCCCAUGACCUAGAACAUCUUGACCUAGAACCUCGCAACCUAGAACAUCCUAACUUAGAUCAUUAUGACCUGAAACAAAGAGGAUUCUGAAAAGAAGAGAUAGAGAAAGGGCUCAUUAGCUUAGAAACAUCUACCCUAGAGCCUUCUAGUCUAGAACAUCCAGACCUAGAACAUCCUAACUUAGAUCAUUAUGACCUAGAACAAAAACGAUUCUGAAAAGAAGAGAUGGAGAAAGGGCUAGUUAGCUUAGAACCAUUCAACCUAGAUCCUUCUGCUCUAGAACAUCCCACCCUAAAACCCAAUGACCUAGAACAUCCUGACUUAGAUCAUCAUGACCUAGAACAAAGAUGAUUCUAAAGAGAUGGAGAAAGUGCUAGUUAGCUUACAACCAUCUAACCUGGAGCCUUCUGCUCUAGAACAUCCCGACCUAUAAUCUCACGUCCUAGAACAUCUCGAAUGAGAACCUCACGACCUAGAAUAUCCUAACUUAGAUCAUUGUGACCAAAGAACAGUUAGCUUAGAACCAUCUAACCUAGAGCCUUCUAGUCUAGAACAUCCAGACCUAGAACAUCGUAACUUAGAUCAUUAUGACCUAGAACAAGAAAGAUUCUGAAAUGAAGAUAUGGAGAAAGGGCUAGUUAGCUUAGAACCAUUUAACCUAGAUCCUUCUGCUCUAGAACAUCCCACCUUAAAAACACAAUGACCUAGAACAUUCUGACUUAGAUCAUUAUGAUCUAGAACAAUGAGGAUUCUAAAUAGAUGGAGAUAGUGCUUGCUAGCUUACAACCAUCUAACCUAGAGCCUUCUGCUCUAGAACAUCCCAACCUGUAAUCCAUGACCUAGAACAUAUUGACCUAGAACCUCACGACCUAGAACAUUCUAACUUAGAUCAUUAUGACCUGAAACUAAGAGGAUUCUGAAAAGA